UGGGAUCCAAUGUGAAAUGCC
ensembl:piRNA 21ur-4269 ncRNA